rnacentral:rRNA from 1 species
GACGAACGCAGGCGGCGUGCUUAACACAUGCAAGUCGAACGCUGAAGGCCCAGCUUGCUGGGUCGGAUGAGUGGCGAACGGGUGAGUAACACGUGAGUAACCUGCCCCCUUCUUUGGGAUAACGGUCGGAAACGGCUGCUAAUACCGGGUAUUCACUGUCCUUCGCAUGGGGGGUGGUGGAAAGGUUUUUUCUGGUGGGGGAUGGGCUCGCGGCCUAUCAGCUUGUUGGUGGGGUGAUGGCUUACCAAGGCUUUGACGGGUAACCGGCCUGAGAGGGUGACCGGUCACAUUGGGACUGAGAUACGGCCCAGACUCCUACGGGAGGCAGCAGUGGGGAAUAUUGCACAAUGGGCGAAAGCCUGAUGCAGCGACGCCGCGUGAGGGAUGACGGCCUUCGGGUUGUAAACCUCUUUCGCUCAUGGUCAAGCCGCAACAAUGGUUGUGGUGAGGGUAGUGGGUAAAGAAGCACCGGCUAACUACGUGCCAGCAGCCGCGGUAAUACGUAGGGUGCGAGCGUUGUCCGGAAUUAUUGGGCGUAAAGGGCUUGUAGGCGGUUUGUCGCGUCUGCCGUGAAAUCCUCUGGCUUAACUGGGGGCGUGCGGUGGGUACGGGCAGGCUUGAGCGCGGUAGGGGAGACUGGAACUCCUGGUGUAGCGGUGGAAUGCGCAGAUAUCAGGAAGAACACCGGUGGCGAAGGCGGGUCUCUGGGCCGUUACUGACGCUGAGGAGCGAAAGCGUGGGGAGCGAACAGG